UGCCUGUUCGUCCAAUGGCAGGACACCUGACUCUGACUCAGGCGAUCGAGGUUCGAAUCCUCGACAGGCAG
rnacentral:tRNA from 1 species